CCGCCUACGGGAGGCAGCAGUGGGGAAUAUUGGGCAAUGGGCGAAAGCCUGACCCAGCAACGCCGCGUGAAGGAAGAAGGCUUUCGGGUUGUAAACUUCUUUUGACAGGGAAGAGCAGAAGACGGUACCUGUCGAAUAAGCCACGGCUAACUACGUGCCAGCAGCCGCGGUAAUACGUAGGUGGCAAGCGUUGUCCGGAUUUACUGGGUGUAAAGGGCGUGUAGCCGGGCUGACAAGUCAGAUGUGAAACCCAUGGGCUCAACCCAUGGCCUGCAUUUGAAACUGUAGUUCUUGAGUGAUGGAGA
rnacentral:rRNA from 1 species